rnacentral:rRNA from 1 species
UACGAAGGGUGCAAACGUUGCUCGGAAUUAUUGGGCGUAAAGAGCUCGUAGGCGGCUUGUCGCGUCGACUGUGAAAUCCCGAGGCUCAACUUCGGGCUUGCAGUCGAUACGGGCAGGCUAGAGUUCGGUAGGGGAGACUGGAAUUCCUGGUGUAGCGGUGAAAUGCGCAGAUAUCAGGAGGAACACCGAUGGCGAAGGCAGGUCUCUGGGCCGAUACUGACGCUGAGGAGCGAAAGCGUGGGGAGCGAACAGG